rnacentral:rRNA from 1 species
UACGAAGGGGGCUAGCGUUGCUCGGAAUCACUGGGCGUAAAGGGUGCGUAGGCGGGUUUUUAAGUCAGAGGUGAAAUCCUGGAGCUCAACUCCAGAACUGCCUUUGAUACUGAGAAUCUUGAGUAUGGGAGAGGUGAGUGGAACUGCGAGUGUAGAGGUGAAAUUCGUAGAUAUUCGCAAGAACACCAGUGGCGAAGGCGGGUUGCUGGGCCGACACUGACGCUGAGGCGCGAAAGCUAGGGAGCGAACGGGG